UACGUAGGCGGCAAGCGUUGUUCGGAGUUACUGGGCGUAAAGAGUGCGUAGGCGGUGUCGAAAGUUUGGCGUGAAAUCUCCCGGCUUAACUGGGAGGGUGCGCCGAAAACUGCGGUGCUGGAGUGUGGGAAAGGCAAGCGGAAUUCCUGGUGUAGCGGUGAAAUGCGUAGAUAUCAGGAGGAACACCGGCGGUGUAGACGGCUUGCUAGACCAUAACUGACGCUGAGGCACGAAAGCGUGGGUAGCAAACAGG
rnacentral:rRNA from 1 species